rnacentral:rRNA from 1 species
UACGGGGGGGAGCAAGCGUUGUUCGGAUUUACUGGGCGUAAAGCGCGCGUAGGCGGCUUUGUAAGUUAGAGGUGAAAGCCCGGGGCUCAACCCCCGGAACUGCCUUUAAAACUGCAUCGCUUGAAUCCAGGAGAGGUGAGUGGAAUUCCGAGUGUAGAGGUGAAAUUCGUAGAUAUUCGGAAGAACACCAGUGGCGAAGGCGGCUCACUGGACUGGUAUUGACGCUGAGGUGCGAAAGCGUGGGGAGCAAACAGG